GUUUGAUCCUGGCUCAGGAUGAACGCUAGCUACAGGCUUAACACAUGCAAGUCGAGGGGAAACGAUAUAGAAAGCUUGCUUUUUCUGGGCGUCGACCGGCGCACGGGUGAGUAACGCGUAUCCAACCUGCCCAUCACUUGGGGAUAACCUUGCGAAAGUAAGACUAAUACCCAAUGACGUCUCUAGAAGACAUCUGAAGGAGAUUAAAGAUUUAUCGGUGAUGGAUGGGGAUGCGUCUGAUUAGCUUGUUGGCGGGGUAACGGCCCACCAAGGCUACGAUCAGUAGGGGUUCUGAGAGGAAGGUCCCCCACAUUGGAACUGAGACACGGUCCAAACUCCUACGGGAGGCAGCAGUGAGGAAUAUUGGUCAAUGGACGAGAGUCUGAACCAGCCAAGUAGCGUGCAGGAUGACGGCCCUAUGGGUUGUAAACUGCUUUUAUAAGGGAAUAAAGUGAGUCUCGUGAGACUUUUUGCAUGUACCUUAUGAAUAAGGACCGGCUAAUUCCGUGCCAGCAGCCGCGGUAAUACGGAAGGUCCGGGCGUUAUCCGGAUUUAUUGGGUUUAAAGGGAGCGUAGGCCGGAGAUUAAGCGUGUUGUGAAAUGUAGACGCUCAACGUCUGCACUGCAGCGCGAACUGGUUUCCUUGAGUACGCACAAAGUGGGCGGAAUUCGUGGUGUAGCGGUGAAAUGCUUAGAUAUCACGAAGAACUCCGAUUGCGAAGGCAGCUCACUGGAGCGCAACUGACGCUGAAGCUCGAAAGUGCGGGUAUCGAACAGGAUUAGAUACCCUGGUAGUCCGCACGGUAAACGAUGGAUGCCCGCUGUUGGUCUGAAUAGGUCAGCGGCCAAGCGAAAGCAUUAAGCAUCCCACCUGGGGAGUACGCCGGCAACGGUGAAA
rnacentral:rRNA from 1 species